rnacentral:rRNA from 1 species
AAACUUUCAACAACGGAUCUCUAGGCUCUUGCAUCGAUGAAGAACGCAGUGAAAUGCGAUAAGUAAUGUGAAUUGCAGAAUCUCGUGAAUCAUUGAAUCUUUGAACGCACAUUGCGCCCUAUGGUAUUCCAUUGGGCAUGCCUGUCUGAGCGUCAGC